GUGCCAGCAGCCGCGGUAAUACAGAGGUGGCGAACGUUGUUCGGAUUUACUGGGCGUAAAGGGUCCGUAGGCGGCUUGGUGUGUCGGAUGUGAAAGCUCACAGCUCAACUGUGGAAUUGCAUUCGAAACUGCCGGGCUAGAGUACUGGAGGGGAGAAGGGAACACUUGGUGUAGCGGUGAAAUGCGUAGAUAUCAAGUGGAACACCGGAGGCGAAGGCGCUUCUCUGGACAGAUACUGACGCUCAUGGACGAAAGUUAGGGUAGCGAAAGGGAUUAAAUACCCCUGUAGUCCUAACCGUAAACGGUGUGCACUAGACGUGGGUGGAUUUACCCCCAUCCGUGUCUGAGCUAACGCGUUAAGUGCACCGCCUGGGGAGUACGGCCGCAAGGUUGAAACUCAAAGGAAUUGGCGG
rnacentral:rRNA from 1 species